CCCCCUCUCCCGCCCUCAGCCCCCUUCCCGCGUCGCGACGCACGCAGCUGGGCGGACGCCGCCACGCCGAGGUAGGCCGUGCGGUGCGGGUCGGGCCCUGAGGUGGACGGAGACGAGGCGAAGAUGAGUGAUUGCUGGAGGCGGUGAAGUGCAAGGCCUGGGACUCUUGAUUCCUCAAGGAUCAGCCUAGCAGCAGGGUGAGAGUAUAAACCGAGCAGUAAUGGUCUUUCCUUUCCUCUUGACACUUCACAACGUUUAUAAAGUCGGCGAAAGCGUCCCUUGUAUUAGAGAGUUAAGAAAAAAGUAUCACGAGUUGCUCCAGCAGACGAUUUUUCAGCCUCAUUUGUAUGGUCGGAUUAUCCUUCCAUUUCUACCUUAAGGAGAUUUGUCAAUCCAUUUUUCCAGGUAGUAGGGAGAAAAAUGAAGCCAACAGGUACAGACCCAAGGAUCUUGUCUUUAGCUGCUGAAGUAGCGAAAAGUCCUGAACAAAAUGUCCCUGUUAUAUUGUUGAAGUUAAAAGAAAUAAUAAACAACACCCCUUUGGGAAGUUCAGAGUUGAAGAAAGUCAAACAAGAUAUAUAUUGUUAUGACCUCAUUCAGUAUUGUCUAUUGGUCCUCAGUCAAGAUUGUUCUCGAAUCCAGGGUGGCUGGACUACAAUUUCCCAGCUUACACAGAUCCUAAGCCAUUGCUGUGUGGGCUUAGAGCCAGGCGAAGAUGGAGAGGAAUUUUACAAGGAAUUACUUCCAUCAGCUGCCGAAAAUUUUCUUGUCUUGGGGAGAUGAUUACAAACUUGUUUCAUCAAUGCAGCUA